ensembl:lncRNA
GUUUUGCUGAUCAAUUUGACAUGUUUUGAGAUUCAGCAUUGAAACAGAGUGAUAGCUGAAGGUACAGACUGAUGGCAUUGGAUGGAAAAUCUCAAACAACACUAUUAGGACUCUCUGUUAUUUGUCACCAUUACCUGUCAGUCUAGUAAGCCAGAGCUGGCAAAUGUCUAUCAUAUAACACUAGAUAUGCAUGGUUGUGUGCUGUAACAAAAAGAAACAAACAAUCAGAAUGCAAACCUUUCUAAUGUAAUGUAGCUGAAAGUUACAGUUUACAAAGAUUAAAUUAGAUUUUUAGAAGUUACUUUAUUGUAAGUCAUUAACUUUUAUAUGAACAACUACUUGGCUUUUUGGAAAACAGUCUUAAAGUUAGAUCCAAAUGUUGGACUCUAAAAAAAAAAACGUUUACAGGUUUAUUUACAACAACAGAGUUCUCAAGUUUUUCUCCACAGAAUUCUCAACAAUCUCUCCAGCUUGUCCACACCCAGACAUCUGCACAGAAGAGGUAAAUACCAAACACAGGAGGCAACCACAGAGUAAACACACCGAGCAUGAGGAGCUUAACCACUAAUCUACUAACUAAUGUGGUUAGCUCAACGACCAGGGGUGAACUGGAUAUAGAAAUAGCAGCAGGUGAGUGAUUGCAGACAGGUGAACUCAACCACUUCUGAGCCAGAAGUGGAGAAACGAGGAAAAGUCUUGUCCCUGAAACAGAAGAACUGAGGUUAUUUAAUCAUAUACAAACACAUAUACACACACCCACAAAGAAAAUAACAAGAUCUCUCUGAUAAAAAAAAAAAAAAAGACUCUGCCAGUCUGCAGUGGAAAUCUCUGACUAUAUCUGUCCAGGAUGGCAAAUCACCGAACCCAUGAGCAUUCAUUAAGUCCAUAUCCCUCCCGGCCAACCAGAUAUUGGAAACAACUUCGACGCUGCCUAAUAUUCAGAACCCUCCUGACCUUGUAGGCUGGCUGUCCGUCAACGGCCCAGGUGGCAGGAAUGGGGUUGGAAAGAGGGCACAACAGGCUGGAUUAAACGGUUUUCAGCUUGGACCCAUAGAAGACAUGGAAUCUUAAAUAAUUACAUUCGUCGAUGCCUGAAUUAACCCUUGUGUCUGUCAGCUUUUUAAAUUAAUAUAAUUUUAAACAACAGUCACCUUAAGGCAGUUUAUAUUGUAAUGUAAAGAGCCUACAGUAAUAGAGAGGACAAAAAGAGAGCUUUUCUUAUUCGAUCCGUGACUGAAUAUUUUUCAUGGAUAACCCGACUUUCUGACCUGGGAUUUACAAUGGUGUAAAAAAAUGUUGCCCCCCUUCCUGAUUU